AACGCGAAGAACCUUACCUACCCUUGACAUGUCCGGAAUCCUGCAGAGAUGCGGGAGUGCCCGAAAGGGAAUCGGAACACAGGUGCUGCAUGGCUGUCGUCAGCUCGUGUCGUGAGAUGUUGGGUUAAGUCCCGCAACGAGCGCAACCCUUAUCAUUAGUUGCUACGCAAGGGCACUCUAAUGAGACUGCCGGUGACAAACCGGAGGAAGGUGGGGAUGACGUCAAGUCCUCAUGGCCCUUAUGGGUAGGGCUUCACACGUCAUACAAUGGUCGGUACAGAGGGUUGCCAAGCCGCGAGGUGGAGCCAAUCCCAGAAAGCCGAUCGUAGUCCGGAUUGUUCUCUGCAACUCGAGAGCAUGAAGUCGGAAUCGCUAGUAAUCGCGGAUCAGCAUGUCGCGGUGAAUACGUUCCCGGGUCUUGUACACACCG
rnacentral:rRNA from 1 species